rnacentral:tRNA from 1 species
CAUUAGAUGACUGAAAGUUAGUACUGGUCUCUUAAACCACUCCAUAAUAUUUGUAACGAAAUAUUUCUAAUGA